UAACACAUGCAAGUCGAACGGCAGCACAGAAGAGCUUGCUCUUUGGGUGGCGAGUGGCGGACGGGUGAGUAAUGUCUGGGAAACUGCCCGAUGGAGGGGGAUAACUACUGGAAACGGUAGCUAAUACCGCAUAACGUCGCAAGACCAAAGUGGGGGACCUUCGGGCCUCACACCAUCGGAUGUGCCCAGAUGGGAUUAGCUAGUAGGUGGGGUAAUGGCUCACCUAGGCGACGAUCCCUAGCUGGUCUGAGAGGAUGACCAGCCGCACUGGAACUGAGACACGGUCCAGACUCCUACGGGAGGCAGCAGUGGGGAAUAUUGGACAAUGGGCGAAAGCCUGAUCCAGCCAUG
rnacentral:rRNA from 1 species